rnacentral:rRNA from 1 species
UUCGCCCUACGGGAGGCAGCAGUAGGGAAUCUUCCACAAUGGACGAAAGUCUGAUGGAGCAACGCCGCGUGAGUGAAGAAGGGGUUCGGCUCGUAAAACUCUGUUGGUAGUGAAGAAAGAUAGAGGUAGUAACUGGCCUUUAUUUGACGGUAAUUACUUAGAAAGUCACGGCUAACUACGUGCCAGCCGCCGCGGUAAUACGUAGGUGGCAAGCGUUGUCCGGAUUUAUUUGGCGUAAAGCG